UACAGAGGGUGCAAGCGUUAAUCGGAAUUACUGGGCGUAAAGCGCGCGUAGGCGGUUGGGUAAGUCGGAUGUGAAAUCCCCGGGCUUAACCUGGGAAUUGCAUUCGAUACUGCCUGGCUAGAGUGUGGAAGAGGGAAGCGGAAUUUCCGGUGUAGCGGUGAAAUGCGUAGAUAUCGGAAGGAACACCAGUGGCGAAGGCGGCUUCCUGGUCCAACACUGACGCUGAGGCGCGAAAGCGUGGGUAGCGAACAGG
rnacentral:rRNA from 1 species